rnacentral:lncRNA from 12 species
GAUUUUCUUUUUUUGUUUUGUUGUGGUUUUUUGUUUUAUUUUAAAGAAGAUUUCAAAAACAAAGCAGAAAAGGAGAGCCCAAAGACAAAAGAAAGAUAUUUAAACAACAGAGGAGAAAUACUGGAACAGCUGGAGCUCAUCCCAUCAGAGUAUCCUUUCUGGAAGUCCUGUAUCUCCACCACCAAAGUUCUUUGGAAGAAAAUUACAUCUUUAUGAUUCAUGAAACUAAAGAGGACAAUCCUUACAUUUAUCCAUCUUAUAACUGCAAUGGCUCUCUGGAAACAGCUAAACCUAAAGCAAAUUAUGGGAACAACUAUUCUUCACAUGUUUGAAGCCACUCUUGAGUUUUUCUACACCAGAAGUUCCAAAGUCAAGCUACAUUCAAAAAGAAGCAACAAAUUGGACACCCAAAUUCUGAAGAGCCAGAUAUCCCUUAUAGCAUAGGACAUGUGCAGAUAAAUCCAAUUAUUAAAAAUUUCCUGCAGAAAAAAUAUAUGUAUGUGUGUAUUACACACAUGCAUAUGACCAUCUCAAAAGCAUAUUCUGAAAACUUUAAGAAAACAUUAUGAGUAUGAUCCAUGCUGUAAAUUAUACUUUAUUUCUCUUUCUGUAUUUAUGCCAUCAAUUAUUAUCUCUUUAUGCCUUUAGCUUUUUGUUCCUCCUACCCCAUGACUACAGAGCAAAACUUUCAUUUCCAAUAACAACUUCAUUAACUCAGCAGAGAUGGCAAAUAUUUAUCUCCAAAAUUAAGCAUAACACUUGCUUACUGAUUUAUGACAUAUAUCUUUAUAAAAUGUUCAAUUAAAUGC